GAUUUUAUUCUUUUUUUAUUUAAUGGGCUGUAAAAAUAUUUUUGACUAGCCUUUCUGACUAUUAAAAAAUAAUAAUCAUUCUGAUCCCUUUAAAAUACCUGGGGUUGUCUUCCCCAGAGCAUCUCUGAUGGCGCUAGAUCGGCAUCAGUAAGCACAAGGCAGAUGUCAGUUGGAUACACUAGCUAUGUUAAUAUCGACUCUAGAACUUUCCAGAUUGGAUGAAAUAAAGCCCAGCCUGGGACAAAACAGUGACAGACACAUUCCGCGUGUGGUUUGCAUCAGCUCUUGUCACCCCCCUCAAAGACCAGCCUUCCUGUGCUAGUGUUUCCCUGUACAGACCCUGCAGCAGUAAGACUCACGGACGGAAGACAAGUGGAGAGUGCUAACUUGGGAUUUCAAGAGCAAAGGCUUUUUAAAAAUAGUCUCACAUAGCCCAGGCUGGCCUCUUACUCUCUAUGUAGCCAAGGGGCCUUACUCUCCUCCUCUUGUCCCCACUUCCCAAGGUGUGUACCACCAUGCUUGUUUUAAACAAAAAGUUUUAUUGAUCUAUGUGAGAAAAAGAAUUGGAAAAAAAAUUGGAAGCCUGACAUUCCUUCCUCUCCCUGUCCCACCCUGUGUCUUUGAGUCAGCCUCUAAUUCAUUUGGAGUGUUUUAAAUUAUCACAGUGGAGGAGAUGCAGCCACAGAGCCCAUGUGGAGGUCAGGAGGCAGCUUACAGGAUCCUGGUUUCUUGUAAGACUAUGUGGAUCCCAGGCUCAAAUGCACAGAGCAUGUCUUGGAGGGAAGUGUGGUUGCCCUCUGAGCUCUCCCCAGCUGGUCUGACUGGUAUUCUUGAAGGUUCAGUCACUAGUGUGUGCCGCUAAACUCCAAAUUUCCUGACAGGCUCAUUUGAAUCCAUAUGCUCUAAAGUGGUGUUUAUUUUUGUUUCAGGGCUCCAUAUGCAAACACUGCUUAUCAGAUUCUCUUGCUCCAGGUUAGAUCACACACAUACCCAAGCUUAGCCAGUGCACCCCUCGUCACUUUAUACAGACAGCUGUCAUGUCAUUCUAUGUCUUAUUAAGAAUAUGUUCUCCCUCUUUAAGUACCUAGAUCCCACUGGACAUGGAGUAAACCCAUUGCCUGCUGCUUAACUGUGUCUCUGACACAAAGGAUAUUUUAUAUUUGUUUUAAGUGUAUGUGUAUGGGUGUUUUGCCUACAUGUAUAUCUCUACUUGCCAUGUGUGUGCCUGGUGCCUCCAGAGGUCAGGAAAGGGCAUAGAUCCCUGGAACUGGAAUUACAGACAGUCAUGAACUGUUAAUGCAGGUACUGGGAAUUGAACCCAGGUCCUCUUGGUGAGCAGUCAGUGCUCUCAACUACUGAGCCAUCUCUCCAGCCCCGAUAUUUUGUACUUAUAUAUCCCACUUAUAUUAACAUUUGUAAAAGGUGACUUUUAAAAUUUAUUUCCAUUAAGCUUCAGAGUCUAAUCGCUUGAUCUAAACAAUAUUAAAUACUUUGAUGCCAGCCUGCACAUAUUUUCAGUAGAUAACAUUAAUUUAAAUAACCCUCUGCAUAACAUAUUCUUACAGUAUUGAUUUCAAUGCGAAUAUAGAUGUGCCAUGGUUCCUCUUUCCUAUUCUUUUUCAUUAUACACAUAACCAGAUAAACAUUUAGCCUUUCCUAGACAAUGACCCUUGUCCUAUAGACUGUAGCUGGCUUUAGAAGCCAUAUUUAGCUUCCCUAGGAUGUUAUGUGGUUAUGAAUCAGUUACCCCACAGCAGCACACCACGUGUAAUUUGAUUCAGUAGCAUACUCUGUUUAAGAUCCAUAGUGAAUGGUGUACCAAAAGGUAAAGGUAGUUACAAUGCAAGACAGAAACUGGGGCAUGGAGAGAUGGCUCAGUGGUUAAGAGCACUGGCUGCUUUCCAGAGAGACCGAGGUUCAAUUCUCAGCACCCACCUGACAGCUCUCAGCCACUUGCAACUUCAGUUCCAGGGGAAUCUGACACCUUCUGGCCUCCACAGGCAUUGUGUGUGUGUGGUGCACUGGCCUAUAUGUAAGCAAAACACCCAUGCACUUGAG
rnacentral:lncRNA from 1 species